CUUGCCUUCUGCCAGAGAUCUGGUGGCUCCCAGUUCUGGCAGUCCUUCAUCCAGUUGCUCCCGGUCCUCCGCAUAGGGACCUCCAUCACGGUCAGAUCCGGGACAUUCACCCUGUUCUGGUUCUACUGGUGGGUUGGGGAUGCCCCUUUCACGGCCCGCAUUCCAGACUUGUUCUCCAUCACAGUGGAACCAUGCAUCUCCGUCGAGGCGACACUUAUUGACUUAGGGUGCCUCACGUUUCGGCGGCCAUUUGGGCCUCCAGACCUAACCACCUGGCACAAGCUCCUUGAGAUUACCGCCCUUCACGAGCCGGACCUAGAGCAGGCAAACAAUUGCAUCUCGUGGCACCUAGAGCCCUCGGGCAAAUUCUCCAUGAAGUCUCUCUACCAAGCCAUCGCUGCCACUCCUGCACCGAAGCCCCUUGAGUUAAUCUGGUCGCUCAGACUUCCUCUAAGGAUCAGGAUCUUUCUGUGGCAAUGGAUCCGCGUCCGUGUCCCGUUCAGUGUGGAGGUGCUUAAGCAGAAUGGCCCGGGGGAUGGGAUCUGUCCCCUAUGUGGGAUAGAAGAAGACUCGAACCACAUCUUGUUUUUGUGUGUGUCCGCCCAGUUCCUCUGGAGCUUCCUAAUACGUCUCCAACGUAUCUAUAAUUUUUUAUUGUCCCAUGCUAUUAUAGUAUCAAUCUUGGAUGUUUAUUAUGCAAUUAUAUAUCAUUUUUGGGACUAG
rnacentral:rRNA from 1 species